AUUGAACGCUGGCGGCAGGCCUAACACAUGCAAGUCGAGCGGAUGAAGGGAGCUUGCUCCUGGAUUCAGCGGCGGACGGGUGAGUAAUGCCUAGGAAUCUGCCUGGCAGUGGGGGAUAACGUCCGGAAACGGGCGCUAAUACCGCAUACGUCCUGAGGGAGAAAGUGGGGGGUCUUCGGACCUCACGCUAUCAGAUGAGCCUAGGUCGGAUUAGCUAGUUGGUGGGGUAAAGGCCUACCAAGGCGACGAUCCGUAACUGGCCUGAGAGGAUGAUCAGUCACACUGGAACUGGGACACCGUCCAGACUCCUACGGGAGGCAGCAGUGGGGAAUGUUGGGCAGUAGGCGAAAGCCUGAUCCAGCCAUGCCGCGUGUGUGAAGACGGUCUUCGGAUUGUAAAGCCCUUUAAGUUGGGAGGAAGGGCAGUAAGUUAAUACCUUGCUGUUUUGACGUUACCAACAAAAUAAGCACCGGCUAACUUCGUG
rnacentral:rRNA from 1 species